CCUGCGCAUGCGGGAGAACCGGAUUUACCGGUGCCGAAGGAGCAACCGCCCCGGAAACUCUCAGGCCGAAGGGACCGCGGGCGUACA
rnacentral:ncRNA from 1 species